UACGGGGGGGGCAAGCGUUGUUCGGAAUUACUGGGCGUAAAGGGCUCGUAGGCGGCCAACUAAGUCGGAUGUGAAAUCCCCAGGCUUAACCUGGGAACUGCAUCCGAUACUGGAUGGCUUGAAUCCGGGAGAGGGAUGCAGAAUUCCAGGUGUAGCGGUGAAAUGCGUAGAUAUCUGGAGGAACACCGGUGGCGAAGGCGGCAUUCUGGACCAUAACUGACGCUGAGGUGCGAAAGCGUGGGGAGCAAACAGG
rnacentral:rRNA from 1 species